rnacentral:rRNA from 1 species
GCGGAGGGAUCAUUAAAGAGUUCUAUAACUCCCUAAAACCCAUGUGAACAUACCUUACGUUGCCUCGGCAGGUCGCGCCUACCCCGUAACGUCCUACCCUGUAGGCACCUACCCGGUAGGCGCGGGUAAGCCUGCCGACGCCACGAAACUCUGUUUAGUAUUGAAUUCUGAACCUAUAACUAAAUAAGUUAAAACUUUCAACAACGGAUCUCUUGGUUCUGGCAUCGAUAAGAACGCAGCGAAAUGCGAUAAGUAAUGUGAAUUGCAGAAUUCAGUGAAUCAUCGAAUCUUUGAACGCACAUUGCGCCCAUUAGUAUUCUAGUGGGUAUGCCUGUUCGAGCGUCAUUUCAACCCUUAAGCCUCUGUUGCUUAGUGUUGGGAGCCUACGGUAUAGUAGCUCCUCAAAGUUAGUGGCAGAGUCGGUUCACACUCUAGACGUAGUAGAUUUUAUUUCGCCUAUUAGUUGGACUGGCCUCUUGCCAUAAAACCCCCUAAACUUUUUUAAAGGUUGACCUCGGAUCAGGUAGGAAUACCCGCUGAACUUAAGCAU